UGCGUAGGUGGUUAAUUAAGUCAGAUGUGAAAUCCCCAGGCUUAACCUGGGAAUUGCAUUUGAAACUGAAUGACUAGAGUACGGUAGAGGGAAGUGGAAUUUCCGGUGUAGCGGUGAAAUGCGUAGAUAUCGGAAGGAACAUCAGUGGCGAAGGCGACUUCCUGGACCGUUACUGACACUGAGGCACGAAAGCGUGGGGAGCGAACAGGAUUAGAUACCCUGGUAGUCCACGCCGUAAACGAUGAGAACUAGAUGUUAGGGGGCUUAGACCCUUUAGUAUCGCAGCAAACGCGUUAAGUUCUCCGCCUGGGGAGUACGGCCGCAAGGUUAAA
rnacentral:rRNA from 1 species